rnacentral:rRNA from 1 species
AUUGAACGCUGGCGGCAUGCCUUACACAUGCAAGUCGAACGGCAGCACGGGAGCAAUCCUGGUGGCGAGUGGCGAACGGGUGAGUAACAUAUCGGAACGUGCCCAGUAGUGGGGGAUAACCCGGCGAAAGCCGGACUAAUACCGCAUACGACCUACGGGUGAAAGCAGGGGAUCGUAAGACCUUGCGCUAUCGGAGCGGCCGAUAUCAGAUUAGCUUGUUGGUGGGGUAAAAGCCUACCAAGGCGACGAUCUGUAGCUGGUCUGAGAGGACGACCAGCCACACUGGGACUGAGACACGGCCCAGACUCCUACGGGAGGCAGCAGUGGGGAAUUUUGGACAAUGGGCGCAAGCCUGAUCCAGCCAUGCCGCGUGCGGGAAGAAGGCC